rnacentral:misc_RNA from 1 species
UCCUCCCUCAAACCUCGGGUUUGGUGUUGGACCACGGGGGUGACUGACCUCCCCCCGGGUCUCAAAAAUAAUGACGGCGUCCGUGGGACCCUCUUCGCACUGAGCUUUCCGGAGCACGCGUUGAGUUGCAAGGUCCCGGGGGCCCGGUCUGUACCUAUUUUCUUUCUUUA